rnacentral:rRNA from 1 species
UACUUGGAUAACUGUGGUAAUUCUAGAGCUAAUACAUGCACCAAAGCUCCGAUCCUCGCGGAGAGGAGCGCAUUUGUUCGCCACAAAACCAAGCGCCCAUCUGGGCGUCCAGUGCUGAACCAGAACAACUCAGCUGAUCGCACGGUCUUGUACCGGCGACGUGUCUUUCAAGUGUCUGCCUUAUCAACUUUCGAUGGUAGUGUACCUGACUACCAUGGUUGUGACGGGUAACGGAGGAUAAGGGUUCGACUCCGGAGAAGGGGCCUGAGAAAUGGCCACUACGUCUAAGGAUGGCAGCAGGCGCGCAAAUUACCCACUCUCAACGCGAGGAGGUAGUGACGAGAAAUAACGAGACCGUUCUCAUACGAGGCCGGUUAUUGGAAUGGGUACAAUUUAAA